GAGGGGACAGCUCAGUGGCAGAGCACAUGCUUAGCAUGCACGAGGUCCUGGGUUCAAUCCCCAGUCCCUCA
rnacentral:tRNA from 1 species